rnacentral:rRNA from 1 species
AGUGAACGCUGGCGGCAGGCUUAACACAUGCAAGUCGAGCGGAGAGAGGUAGCUUGCUACUGAUCUUAGCGGCGGACGGGUGAGUAAUGCUCAGGAAUCUGCCUAGUAGUGGGGGACAACAUGUCGAAAGGAAUGCUAAUACCGCAUACGUCCUACGGGAGAAAGCAGGGGAUCUUCGGACCUUGAGCUAAUAGAUGAGCCAAAGUCGGAUUAGCUAGUUGGUGGGGUAAAGGCCUACAAAGGCGACGAGCUGUAGCGGGUCUGAGAGGAUGAUCCGCCACACUGGGACUGAGACACGGCCCAGACUCCUACGGGAGGCAGCAGUGGGGAAUAUUGGACAAUGGGCGGAAGCCUUAUCCAGCCAUGCCGCGUGUGUGAAGAAGGCCUUAUGGUUGUAAAGCACUUUAAGCGAGGAGGAGGCUACUUUAGUUAAUACCCAGAGAUAGUGGACGUUACUCGCAGAAUAAGCACCGGCUAACUCUGUGCCAGCCGCCGCAGUAA